AAUGGUUACUGAAAGACAAACCCUGUCCCAAUGUAAUGACUGAUUUGUAGUCAACAUAGAUAUAUUAAACUAUUGGUAGCACUGGCCAGGUCACUUCCAUCACUGUAACUAGAGGCCAUAUAAU